GGGUGAUCUGGCUUGUGACAUUGGUCACCCCGUUGAUCACCAGGAUUGACUUGGCUGGCCUAGCGGGCCUCUUCCUAUGUGUCCUUCCUGAAGCUGCCCCCUCUGUAGAAGGACAGCCGUCCCUGAGUAGAAGACUGUCAAGAGUAUGCAAGCGUCUGCGGUCCCUGGGAGAACCUCCAAAGGAAAGCUCUCAAGAAUUUCAACAUUUUUAAAGUCCGAAGUUUC
rfam:Rattus norvegicus chromosome 5, whole genome shotgun sequence.